GCCGGGCAUGGUGGCGCAUGCCUGUAAUCCCAGCUACUUGGGAGGCUGAGGCAGGAAAAUCGCUUGAACCCAGGAGCGGAGCUUGCAGUGAGCCGAGAUCAUGCCACUGCACUUCAGCCUGGGUGACAGAACGAGACUCUGUCUCAA
rnacentral:SRP_RNA from 1 species